rnacentral:misc_RNA from 1 species
AACCAUAGAAACCUGCGGAGUACCUGCGGAGGGAUCAUUACCAAUCCAAAGAUUACAUCUUUUCCUGUGAACUUUUGAUUUGUUUUUAAUAUUUGGGUGACUUGAAAAUAUUCUAGUCAUUAAAAAUAUUAUUAUAUUUUCAAUCACCAUUAUAUUUUCAAUCACCCAAAUAUUUUGAAUAACAACUCCUUAUCAAAACAUAAUAUAAAUAAAUUGUUUUGCUGACAUUACAGGUCAUGU